rnacentral:snRNA from 1 species
CGCGCGACCUAUACCCGGC